rnacentral:misc_RNA from 1 species
GUGAAUUGAAUAUGUUAGCGGACCUCUUCGGAGUCCCUAGCAUCAAAUCAUAUCCAUAACACCUGUGAACUGUAAGGCUGUCUUGAAAACGAAGUGAUUAGAGCGCCUGCCCAUUUUAUACAAACAUUAAAGUAACAAACGUAGUCUUAUUAUAAUCUAAUA